rnacentral:rRNA from 1 species
UACGUAGGGUGCAAGCGUUGUCCGGAAUUAUUGGGCGUAAAGGGCUCGUAGGCGGUCUGUCGCGUCGAAAGUGAAAACUCAGGGCUUAACCCUGAGCCUGCUUCCGAUACGGGCAGACUAGAGGUAUGCAGGGGAGAACGGAAUUCCUGGUGUAGCGGUGAAAUGCGCAGAUAUCAGGAGGAACACCGGUGGCGAAGGCGGUUCUCUGGGCAUUACCUGACGCUGAGGAGCGAAGGCCAGGGGAGCAAACGGG